UAUGGCUUUUUAUUCCUACGUGAUGAGCAGAACUUGCAAGCCCCACGUAGGGGAGGAAGCCAUGGA
rnacentral:pre_miRNA from 1 species